rnacentral:tRNA from 1 species
GCCGAAGUGGCGGAACUGGCAGACGCACGGGACUCAAAAUCCCGCGCUUCGUAAGGAGCGUGAGGGUUCGACUCCCUCCUUCGGCACCA